CCCUUAGAUGUUCGGGGCCGCACGCGCGCUACACUGAAGGAAUCAGCACGUCUUUCUCCUUGUCCGAAAGGACUGGGUAACCCGCUGAACCUCCUUCGUGCUAGGGAUUGGGGCUUGUAAUUCUUCCCCAUGAACGAGGAAUUCCCAGUAAGCGCGAGUCAUAAGCUCGCGUUGAUUACGUCCCUGCCCUUUGUACACACCGCCCGUCGCUACUACCGAUUGAAUGGUUUAGUGAGACCCUCGGAUCCGUCCCGGCGCGGCCGUUCGCGGCCGCGCCGGCGCGCGGAGAAGACGGUCGAACUUGAUCAUUUAGAGGAAGUAAAAGUCGUAACA
rnacentral:rRNA from 1 species